UACGUAGGGUGCAAGCGUUAAUCGGAAUUACUGGGCGUAAAGCGUGCGCAGGCGGUUAUGUAAGACCGAUGUGAAAUGCCCGGGCUUAACCUGGGAACUGCAUUUGUGACUGCAUGGCUAGAGUUUGGCAGAGGGGGGUAGAAUUCCACGUGUAGCAGUGAAAUGCGUAGAUAUGUGGGGGAACACCGAUGGCGAAGGCAGCCCCCUGGGUCAAGACUGACGCUCAUGCACGAAAGCGUGGGGAGCAAACAGG
rnacentral:rRNA from 1 species